CAGUAGCCGCGGUAAUACAGAGGGUGCAAGCGUUAAUCGGAAUUACUGGGCGUAAAGCGCGCGUAGGUGGUUUGUUAAGUUGGAUGUGAAAGCCCCGGGCUCAACCUGGGAACUGCAUCCAAAACUGGCAAGCUAGAGUACGGUAGAGGGUGGUGGAAUUUCCUGUGUAGCGGUGAAAUGCGUAGAUAUAGGAAGGAACACCAGUGGCGAAGGCGACCACCUGGACUGAUACUGACACUGAGGUGCGAAAGCGUGGGGAGCAAACAGGAUUAGAUACCCGCGUAGUCCCUGUCUCUUAUAC
rnacentral:rRNA from 1 species